rnacentral:rRNA from 1 species
UAACACAUGCAAGUCGAACGAUGAUAGAGAGCUUGCUUUUCUUGAUUAGUGGCGCACGGGUGAGUAAUGCAUAGAUAAUGUGCCCCUUAGUUCGGGAUAGCCACUGGAAACGUGAUUAAUACCGGAUACUCCUUCUUGUUAUAAGACAAGUCGGGAAAGUUUUUCGCUAAGGGAUCAGUCUAUGUUCCAUCAGCUUGUUGGUGAGGUAAUGGCUCACCAAGGCUAUGACGGAUAUCUGGUUUGAGAGGAUGAUCAGACACACUGGAACUGAGACACGGUCCAGACUCCUACGGGAGGCAGCAGUGAGGAAUAUUGCACAAUGGAGGAAACUCUGAUGCAGCAACGCCGCGUGGAGGAUGACGCAUUUCGGUGUGUAAACUCCUUUUAUUAGGGAAGAUAAUGACGGUACCUAAUGAAUAAGCACCGGCUAACUCCGUGCCAGCAGCCGCGGUAAUACGGAGGGUGCAAGCGUUACUCGGAAUCACUGGGCGUAAAGGGUGCGUAGGCUGGCUUUUAAGUCAGAUGUGAAAUCCAAUGGCUCAACCAUUGAACUGCAUUUGAAACUGAAAGCCUAGAGUUCAGAAGGGGCAGAUGGAAUUAGUGGUGUAGGGGUAAAAUCCGUAGAUAUCACUAGGAAUAUCAAAAGCGAAGGCGAUCU